CCUGCUGGGACCCGGCUGUUUAUCCACCUUCCUCCUGCGCCGCGCGGCUCCGUUCUGCAGGUCUGUCAGGAUUGCGAAACCGUCCUAAACGGGAUAUUUGUUUUGUUUGACAGAUGAAAAAACGAAGGCGUAGAGUAAUUAGGCCCUCUGCCACGUCAUACUAUUAGGAAAGAACCAGCCUCUUCACACGCACCCCUUCCUUUGGUGCCUUUGGAUAUAGGUAUCUGGCAUCCGAGAGGAAAUGCUGAGUUUUCUACAUAUGCUCUUUUCUGUUUACUUCACUCUCCACACCAAAGAGCAGCAAGCGUCCCGGUGGGAAGGAGAGAAACCCCACAGUUUCACAUCUUAUAAACUACUCCUGGCCCAGGAGCCUCUCAGAGACACUCGGGGAGGGUCAGGAUUCUGUGCACGAAUUUGGACUCAUCGAAGCCAAUCGUGGGCCAAAGUCAUCAGGCUUGAGGGCAGUGGUUUCACAAAUGUCUUGCCCUUGCUGACCCCUCACUCCAUGUAAGGGGCAUUUCUUUUUGCUCCUCCAAAGAAAGUCCCUUCCAUUCCUUCAGCGGUGCUUCCUCUUUCUGAUACUCUGCGAAUUGGUUCUUCCUCACAAGAAUGUCAGUGACUCCUUCCUUGGAAGGGUUUCAGUAAAGCCUCUGGGCAUCUAGAGAUCGUCCCAGGACUGGCGGUACCCUCGGCUCCAGAGAACAGCCUGCGUGCCGGCCCGUUCAAAGGCAGAGCGGCCUCUGUUCUGGAGUGUUGUGGAGACGUCUCAGAUUUCCUCUAGCUUCCUUCCUAAGCAUCUCUGCUGGUCCAGGUGGCUUACCUGGUGGGAUGACCUAGCCCCUUACCCUGAGGGGUCUGAGUCCCUGAUUAUAACGCCCUUCUUAGGCCAUGGCUGCUGCAUUUGCCAAUUUAUCAGCAGAGUUGGUCAAGGGAGAACCAAGUGAUGUCCAAAUGGAUCACCUGCACACCAGCCAUAUUCUUCUCUACUGUCACCACGUAACAGCAGACUCAUCUCCUCCUAAUGAUCAGGGUCUUUUCCUGCUGGCCUCUCAGCGUGAGAUACCCAGGGUGCUGGGUGGAAACAUUCACUCUCUGGGAACCAAGACCUCUAAAUCUGCAGAGCCCAGAACUGUGGGGCAGGAAGUGGAAACCUGGAGUGAUGUUCAGUGGGACCUCUCAUUUAUACACCGUGUUCUCCAGACCCAAGCACUCUACCUGCUGGGGGCAUGGCACCAUGUAAUGACAGGUGAGGGAGUACGUACUCUGUCCGGGAGGAUAGCUCCCCAUCCUCAUAUGGUGUCAACUCCAGCCUAGCACCUCAGCUGUGCCUUCAGGAGGACGUUCCAUUGCUCCAUCAGGAUGGUGUUUUCUGGGUAUUCUGGUAUGUGAAGGACCAGUGGAUCCCAUAGUCAUGGGCUCACUUCUGUAUCUACUGUGCUGUAAAGUGACCCUCUGGUUCCAGUGCUAUGUUAUAGGAGAUCUCACGUCUGUGGAUGAAACACUUCUGGACUUCCACUCUUCCAGAAGAUGGAAUAUUAGUUUUCCCUAUUCCUGCCACUAUGUACAACCCAAAACUCAGACAUAAGAAGACUCUGAAAGGUGGAGAACAAGUAUCUGACUAGCUGGAGGCCCUGGGAUCUGAGGAACAACACAGUGGUGAGUCCCCUGAGUUUUCUUUUUUUGUCUCAUGUAUCCCAGACCUGGAGCCCAAGAAACUGGCAACCUGGAAACACAAAUGUACAUAGACCAAAAAAAGCCCCAAUGAAAGUCUGCUUCUCUUUAGUCAAAGGCCAUGAAAGGAACAUUCUAGCAAAGCGGAAAACUUUUAGAUGAUAAUUUCUCUACUUCAGGACCCCCACACCCAAACACACACACACACACACACUCACACACUAAGGCUCUACCCAUGCCAGCAAAAGCAAAUGGGACCCCUCCCGCCCUUACCAGGCCAUAAUCACUCCCCGCCCCACACCCACCAGGGUAAUGCCAGAAAGUAGAGCUCAUGUGUUAAGGCAAGCCUUCCUGUGUAUUAGCCACGUCUUGCUCAUACAGUCUGAAUAACACGAUGUCAUCUAUAAGGUGGACCAACGUGAUGACCGUGCAGCGUGGCCAGAAUCCAGGUCCCCUGUUCUACAUUAUAACAGAAGGAGGGGAAGUUCUAGAGCAGUAACAGUGUACACUGUUGACUAUUCCACAUGAUGAGAACUGUUUCAGAUUCUCCUUUCUGAUUGGGCUAGAAAGGAACGCACAUCCCUGGCCACGUAUCAUGUGCAAAUCAGUGUGAAUUCACUCUAGCAAAACAGCACACGUGGCACAGAACCCACAGCUGAAGGUGCACCUUGGUAGAGCGCUCUGCUGUCUACUGGUACCCUCCAGGGUCCCUCUCAGGCCAGAGGGAGAAGUUAAUAGACAGGUGUUAGGGAGCGCCAGCGUACACCCUCCAGCUUUUUAAGGAUGGCAUGAAUCACUGCUAUCUUCCCCCAGGAUGUGAUAUUGUUUUUGAUUUACCGUCUUAGACGCGGUGGGGUGACAGUUUCAAGGGUUUGAUUUGGGCCAUCCCUGCUAUGAUAACCUCUACAUGUGCAGGCCGAGGUGAGGUUUCUGCCAACCCUCAGUUUGUUUAUUUCAAAUUACACAUUUGAGGCUGGGGAAAUGACCACUGGGAAAGUCUGUAGACCCCAGGAGACCAGCUGUGAGCUGGACCGAGGCCAGGAGCACUUAUUACCUUGUCCCCACUCAUCCCUGCUGUAAUGGAGGCCCACAGUAACACUUUCAGUUUCCAGGUUUCGAUAUCAACUUGGACCCUGUAUCCUCAAAAUACCUGGAUACUACUCUUUUCUCAGUGCACAAUUACCCAACUAAAUAGCUCUUACUUUUUAGGGAGGAAGGACUAGGGGGAUCAUUGCCAUUUAUACUUGCCGUGAUGGUACAAGGCCUUCCUCCUAAGGAUUCAGCCGUCCUGGAAUUAGCAGGUUCUAGAUCUAAAAACUGGCUCAGGUCUGAAAAUAAAAAAAAAAAAAAAAAAAAAAAAAAAAGAUUUCUAAAUUUUUUUGUUGUGGUGGCUGCUCUCAGUCUCCUAAUGACCUACUUUAAAAAAAAUUAUUGUGUAAACUCUCUAAUGGGGGUAAACUUUUUUAUUAUUAUUAAAACUUUUUUUUUUUUUUAGAAGAGUUUUAGGUUCACAGCGAAAUUGAAUGGAAGGUACAGAGAUUUCCCAUAUAUUCCCCACCCCAACACAUGCAUAGCCUCUGCUAUUAUCCACAUCCCCCGCCGGAGUGCUACAUUUGUUACAAUCAAUGAACCUACAUUGACACAUAAUCACCCAAAGUCCAUAGUUUGCUUUGGGGUUCACUGUUGGUGUUGGACAUCCUUUGGGUUUGGACAAAUAUAUAAUAACAUGUAUCCAUCAUUGAGGUAUCACAGAAUAUUUUCACUGCCCUCAAAAUCCUGUGCUCCAUCUAUACAUCCCUCCCUUGCCCCCACCUCCCCAACCCCUGGCAACCACUGAUCUUUUUACU